AAUAUAAUUUUACCAAACACUUAACAUAAAACAGCUAUCAUCAGCUAACAGUUAUCAGCUAUCAGCUAACAAUAACAUCUAUCAGCUAACAGCUAUCAGUUAUAUUCAGCAAUUAAACUAAACAGGCCUUUAGUUUCACAUUGGACGGUCCAGUUCCGAUUCCAAACCAGACUAUGCCAGGGUCUAAAACCAAAGUAGCAGCACCAGAAUGAGUGCUUAUGAGUGUAGGUGUGCAAGCAAAACAAAUCAAGAUUCAUUUUACUUCCUCGCAAAGAGGUCUAGAUCAGCCUGAAUUUUCUCACCACAAGGUUUGCCAAGCUCUCUUCCAAAGAUAUGGAGGGAGUACAUUCGAUUAAUAUGACAUACUGAUAUGAUGAUCUCCCAAUUGAGCAUCAAUAAAGAUGGAUAGUAGUAGCCAAUAUGAAAUUUGGACAUACCUAGUGCCUUCCAAUAAGGGACAAACCCCUCGUUUUCCAAGAGGCAACACGAUAUGAAUCACAUUAACAAAUCUAAUCCAAAAUACUUGUAAAUUCGAUAUUCAUUUAGUUUGGCUCAAAAAUUUUCAAGGCAAUAAUGAUAAUUUCAAUGACCAUCCAUAUCAAAUCUCAAUAUUGAUGGGUCUCUAUCUGUCCAACCAUUGACCUAUGAAAUAUUGUUAGAGGAGCAGCUCACUUGUUUUUCUUUGGUUCCCCUGCAUAAUCAUUUAUUAGAGCUUCAACAUCUUUCCAGAACAAACCUUCCACUAAAACGCCAUCCUUGGUGAACCAUUGGGUUACGCUCUUGGUAAACUGCACUGGUUUUCCUGCAGAAAUUGAUUUGGGAUCUGCACUUGCUAUGCUAAGUGUGUAGUCAUCUGAAAAUCUUGGCAAUUUGGAAGAGAUCACCAAACCAGUGCUGGUGUAAGAUCCCUGCAUAGAAAAAGAUUAAUAAUUAAUUAAAAUGAGUUUGUAUCUGUCUUAAAGCAGAAUAGGGUUCAUGUGUCAGUUGCACAAAACAAUAGUUCAUAAAUAACUAAGCCAAUACUUCUCCCCUAUUAAUUAUUCUGCGUUUCAUUUUUCUGCUGUUAUUAUAAUCUUUGGUUCCUUAUUCUACCAGAAAUUUAGCCCCAGAUCAUGUCCACAAUUGUCAUAGAUUUUGAUGUUGUGGUUCUUCCUCUCAUCCAUUUCAGCAAGCAAGAACCGGGAGUUGUAUGAGUUUCUGGGCAUAGAUUCUUUCUCACAGGAACCAUGAAAUCCUCCCUACGAAGGACAAUGGUUAUGUACCCGACUUGAGCAGUUUCCAAGUCAAUGGCCUUGAUAUGGAAAAUCAUAAGCUCCUUUCCCUUUUGAGUGGUGGCUGGCUUUAGUGUGAUUGAGUCCACUCCUUUCCUUACUUUAGAUGGUUCUGAGCACUGGCUGUGAAAAUAUAUAUGCACCAACUAUGAUUGGGAACUGGCCCUUUUGAGCUAGAUUUUAAAGUAGACAUAGGUUCAUAAGAUGCAAGCUUCUAGGAAUCAAAGAUUCCAUCAGCAAUGUCAGGCAUCACUUAUGCAAUGUCAUGAGCAGGUUACUUGCUUCUUACAUGACUCAAAGAAAGGGAUCAAUCAAAGGAUACAGCCAAGGAAAAUAAAUUUUUUAAGGACUGAAAGCUCUUUGAGAGCGUUAUUUUCUCAUAUGCAUGAGCUAGCAAAACAAGAUCUCCUUCUCCAGUAUAUUGUUCCUAUUUUCUUUCUUGUUUAAUUUAUGUUAAAUGCCUCUUUCCUUCCGUAACCUUAGGACAAAAAGAAAAACAACUUUACACUGUCUCGGCAUCCCCAACUUUAAAGAGAAGCAAAUAUUUGACAGCACAGAGGGGCAAUUAAGAAAGAAAUUAUGUGAAAUAUUUGACAGCACAGAAGGCCCAACUACCAUUAUAGUGUCUUGUAAGUUUUUCACCUUCCUUGAAACAAGCUUAGGGUCAUUACAAGUUGCAAAAACAUACAACAAACUUUUGAAGGAUGAGACCUAGUUCUCUAUUCCUACUAUUUGUGGGCUGGAAUCGUCUUUUUAUUUUCAAUUGAUUCUUCUGGAUAGAAUGGGAUUCAAAGAAGCAUCUUUCACCCAAAUGAGUUACGCAAAUUCAAAGGUGAUGCAGUUUUCAGGUUCAUUCUAGAAACACUGAAAUGGCAGGAUGGUUAAAUAAAAAGAAAAUUGUGAUAUAAUAACUCAAAACAACUACAACGACAAGGAGAGGGUAGGGACCCUUAGAAAAUGUUCCUUAACUCAAAAAGAUGGAGAGGGGAAUAUAUAUAUAGACACACACCACACACAGAAAGAGAGAUUAUAUGUUGAUAUUGGUUCAGAUCAAAACUAACAAUAAUAGCAUACUAAUUUUAAUAACCAUCAACCAAGAGCAUGUGAGAUUUAAACCAGUAUGCACAUAUGCAUCCAUGUGCAUGGUGAUAACAAUGAAGAAAAACAAAAGAACAAAGAACAGGCAACAACACAGAAGGUAUAGAUUGUGGUCCUCCGUCCUCCAAGGGUAAAUAAGAAGAAACAGACCCCCUCACCCCCCUCUCUCUCUCUCUCUCUC
rnacentral:misc_RNA from 1 species